rnacentral:rRNA from 1 species
CCUACGGGAGGCAGCAGUGAGGAAUAUUGGUCAAUGGACGCAACUCUGAACCAGCCAAGUAGCGUGCAGGAUGACUGCCCUAUGGGUUGUAAACUGCUUUUAUGCGGGAAUAAAACAGGUCAUGUGUACCUUAUUGUAUGUACCAUAUGAAUAAGGAUCGGCUAAUUCCGUGCCAGCAGCCGCGGUAAUACGGAGGAUCCGGGCGUUAUCCGGAUUUAUUGGGUUUAAAGGGAGCGUAGGUGGCUUGUUAAGUCAGUUGUGAAAGUUUGCGGCUCAACCGUAAAAUUGCAGUUGAAACUGGCAGUCUUGAGUACACUAGAGGUAGGCGGAAUUCGUGGUGUAGCGGUGAAAUGCUUAGAUAUCACGAAGAACUCCGAUUGCGAAGGCAGCCCACCGGAGUGUAACUGACACUGAUGCUCGAAAGUGCGGGUAUCAAACAGGAUUAGAUACCCCAGUAGUC